rnacentral:rRNA from 1 species
AUACGUAGGGGGCGAGCGUUGUCCGGAAUGAUUGGGCGUAAAGGGCGCGUAUGCGGCCCGGUAAGUCUGGAGUGAAAGUCCUGUUUUUAAGAUGGGAAUUGCUUUGGAUACUGUCGGGCUUGAGUGCAGGAGAGGUAAGUGGAAUUCCCAGUGUAGCGGUGAAAUGCGUAGAGAUUGGGAGGAACACCAGUGGCGAAGGCGACUUACUGGACUGUAACUGACGCUGAGGCGCGAAAGUGUGGGGAGCAAACAGGAUUAGAUACCCUGGUAGUCCACACUGUAAACGAUGAAUGCUAGGUGUAGGGGGUAUCGACCCCUUCUGUGCCGCAGUCAACACAAUAAGCAUUCCGCCUGGGGAGUACGGCCGCAAGGUUGAAACUCAAAGGAAUUGACGGGG